GGUAUCAGAAGUGCGAAUGCUGACAUAAGUAACGAUAAAGCGGGUGAAAAGCCCGCUCGCCGGAAGACCAAGGGUUCCUGUCCAACGUUAAUCGGGGCAGGGUGAGUCGACCCCUAAGGCGAGGCCGAAAGGCGUAGUCGAUGGGAAACAGGUUAAUAUUCCUGUACUUGGUGUUACUGCGAAGGGGGGACGGAGAAGGCUAUGUUGGCCGGGCGACGGUUGUCCCGGUUUAAGCGUGUAGGCUGGUUUUCCAGGCAAAUCCGGAAAAUCAAGGCUGAGGCGUGAUGACGAGGCACUACGGUGCUGAAGCAACAAAUGCCCUGCUUCCAGGAAAAGCCUCUAAGCAUCAGGUAACAUCAAAUCGUACCCCAAACCGACACAGGUGGUCAGGUAGAGAAUACCAAGGCGCUUGAGAGAACUCGGGUGAAGGAACUAGGCAAAAUGGUGCCGUAACUUCGGGAGAAGGCACGCUGAUAUGUAGGUGAAGUCCCUCGCGGAUGGAGCUGAAAUCAGUCGAAGAUACCAGCUGGCUGCAACUGUUUAUUAAAAACACAGCACUGUGCAAACACGAAAGUGGACGUAUACGGUGUGACGCCUGCCCGGUGCCGGAAGGUUAAUUGAUGGGGUCAGCGCAAGCGAAGCUCUUGAUCGAAGCCCCGGUAAACGGCGGCCGUAACUAUAACGGUCCUAAGGUAGCGAAAUUCCUUGUCGGGUAAGUUCCGACCUGCACGAAUGGCGUAAUGAUGGCCAGGCUGUCUCCACCCGAGACUCAGUGAAAUUGAACUCGCUGUGAAGAUGCAGUGUACCCGCGGCAAGACGGAAAGACCCCGUGAACCUUUACUAUAGCUUGACACUGAACAUUGAGCCUUGAUGUGUAGGAUAGGUGGGAGGCUUAGAAGUGUGGACGCCAGUCUGCAUGGAGCCGACCUUGAAAUACCACCCUUUAAUGUUUGAUGUUCUAACGUUGACCCGUAAUCCGGGUUGCGGACAGUGUCUGGUGGGUAGUUUGACUGGGGCGGUCUCCUCCUAAAGAGUAACGGAGGAGCACGAAGGUUGGCUAAUCCUGGUCGGACAUCAGGAGGUUAGUGCAAUGGCAUAAGCCAGCUUGACUGCGAGCGUGACGGCGCGAGCAGGUGCGAAAGCAGGUCAUAGUGAUCCGGUGGUUCUGAAUGGAAGGGCCAUCGCUCAACGGAUAAAAGGUACUCCGGGGAUAACAGGCUGAUACCGCCCAAGAGUUCAUAUCGACGGCGGUGUUUGGCACCUCGAUGUCGGCUCAUCACAUCCUGGGGCUGAAGUAGGUCCCAAGGGUAUGGCUGUUCGCCAUUUAAAGUGGUACGCGAGCUGGGUUUAGAACGUCGUGAGACAGUUCGGUCCCUAUCUGCCGUGGGCGCUGGAGAACUGAGGGGGGCUGCUCCUAGUACGAGAGGACCGGAGUGGACGCAUCACUGGUGUUCGGGUUGUCAUGCCAAUGGCACUGCCCGGUAGCUAAAUGCGGAAGAGAUAAGUGCUGAAAGCAUCUAAGCACGAAACUUGCC
rnacentral:rRNA from 1 species